AUGGCAGCCUGGAUCCUCUUGGUGUGUGCACUCAUCACUCUGCAAGGCUCGAAGGCUCAGGAUUGUGGGGUGGCACCUCUCAAUACAAGAAUAGUGGGUGGUCAGAAUGCCCCAGCUGGGUCAUGGCCCUGGCAGGUGAGCGUACACUAUCAAUCAUCUCAUAUCUGUGGAGGCACCCUCAUCAGUGACCAGUGGGUGCUCACAGCAGCUCACUGCAUUAUAAAAAACUCACUUAAGGCAUGGACGCUCUACUUCGGGAGAGAGACUCAGGCUUGGCCUAACACUCAUGAGGUGAAACGGAGUGUGUCGCAGGUCAUUGUCCACCCUAACUACAACAAUUAUUACUCGUACAACGACAUUGCCCUGAUGAAGCUCAGCAGCCCUGUCAGCUUCACUGACUACAUCAGACCUAUCUGCCUGGCAAGUAACUCCAGUCAGUUCUACAGCUCCACAUCCUGCUGGGCCACUGGCUGGGGCAAACUUGGAAACUAUGAGACUUUGCCAGCUAAUGCACCCCUACAAGAAGUUCAGAUUCCUGUUAUUGGAAACAAACAGUGCAGCUGUGAUUAUAUCCCAGCACAAGAUGUGAUAAUCACUCAGAAAAUGAUUUGUGCGGGGCAACAGAACAAAGGAGCAUGCCAGGGGGACUCUGGUGGACCUUUGCAGUGCAAAGAGGGUUCCAAGUGGAUCCAGGCUGGUAUUACCAGUUUUGGAGUACCUUGCGCCCUGGCAGGUUUCCCUGAGGUCUACGCUCGAGUGUCUGAAUUCCAGACUUGGAUCACAAAUCAAGUAGCGGGGGCCAAUGUGGGCUUUGUGACCUUUACUUCUAGUGGCACUGACACAGACAGCAGCUUUGUGUGUUGCAGCAACAACUCUGGAAACUCAGCCAAGUUUGCACCUGAGCUUGGAUUUUUUAUCUUCUCAGUGAAAAUGUUGCUAGACCGCAUUUUAGUUUAACACUAAAAAUAUCUCCUCUUGUGCUCUUUUUGUCUUUAAAUGUAGAGCGCGCAAAUUAGCGCCCACUCCUAUGUAUUUUUAAUGACGGAACUGAAUGAAGUUCAUGAUGAUGGAUGAAUUUGUUAGAUGUAAUGGCACACUAAUCAAUGUAUAUUUAGUACAACAUAAAGUGUUUUUCUAUUACAUAAUCACAAAAAAUACUUAUGUAAAUUGUUAAUUGUUUUAUGAAGAAUUUUGAUUUUAAAAAACAUUCUAAUCAAGUAUAACAUAACUGCACUGUAGCUCGGGUGCAUCGGCUUUUAAUUAUCUUUCACUACACUCACUACAUCUCUAUUUUUUCUUUUGUUAAUCACUUCAUAAAUGCUUUUGUGUUUUCAGCCAAACCACUGUACAUUGUAUAUGGAAACAACAAGCUGAAAUUAAAGGUUAUUCUGAUUUGCUGGUGUCACUGAACAUUAUGUACAAGACUGGAAGAGAUAUGCAGAAUAUAUAUGAAUAUAUAUAUAUGCUCAGU